CACGUAGGGGGCAAGCGUUGUCCGGAUUUAUUGGGCGUAAAGAGCUCGUAGGUGGUUCGGUAAGUCGGGUGUGAAAACUCUGGGCUCAACUCAGAGACGCCACCCGAUACUGCUGUGACUUGAGUCUGGUAGGGGAGUGUGGAAUUCCCAGUGUAGCGGUGAAAUGCGCAGAUAUUGGGAGGAACACCGGUGGCGAAGGCGGGUCUCUGGGCCGAUACUGACGCUGAGGAGCGAAAGCGUGGGGAGCGAACAGG
rnacentral:rRNA from 1 species